ACUCCUACGGGAGGCAGCAGCAGGAAUCUUGCGCAAUGGGCGAAAGCCUGACGCAGCAACGCCGCGUGAGGGAUGAAGGCCUUCGGGUUGUAAACCUCUUUCAGAAGGGAAGAAAUUGACGGUACCUUCAGAAGAAGCCCGCCGCAACUACGUGCCAGCAGCCGCGGUAAUACGUAGGGCGAAGCGUUGUCCGGAAUUAUUGGGCGUAAAGAGCUCGUAGGCGGCUCAGCAAGUCGACUGUGAAAUCCCGAGGCUCAACCUCGGAACUGCAGUCGAUACUGCUGUGGCUUGAGUCUGGUAGAGGAGAAUGGAAUUCCCGGUGUAGCGGUGAAAU
rnacentral:rRNA from 1 species